GGACAGCCUUCUGAAAGGAAGAUUAAUACAAGAUGGCAUCAUGAGUCCACAUGUUCACAUGAUUAAAGGUAUUCCGGUAGACGAUGGGGAUGCGUUCCAUUAGAUAGUAGGCGGGGUAACGGCCCACCUAGUCUUCGAUGGAUAGGGGUUCUGAGAGGAAGGUCCCCCACAUUGGAACUGAGACACGGUCCAAACUCCUACGGGAGGCAGCAGUGAGGAAUAUUGGUCAAUGGGCGAGAGCCUGAACCAGCCAAGUAGCGUGAAGGAUGACUGCCCUAUGGGUUGUAAACUUCUUUUAUAAAGGAAUAAAGUCGGGUAUGCAUACCCGUUUGCAUGUACUUUAUGAAUAAGGAUCGGCUAACUCCGUGCCAGCAGCCGCGGUAAUACGGAGGAUCCGAGCGUUAUCCGGAUUUAUUGGGUUUAAAGGGAGCGUAGAUGGAUGUUUAAGUCAGUUGUGAAAGUUUGCGGCUCAACCGUAAAAUUGCAGUUGAUACUGGAUAUCUUGAGUGCAGUUGAGGCAGGCGGAAUUCGUGGUGUAGCGGUGAAAUGCUUAGAUAUCACGAAGAACUCCGAUUGCGAAGGCAGCCUGCUAAGCUGCAACUGACAUUGAGGCUCGAAAGUGUGGGUAUCAAACAGGAUUAGAUACCCUGGUAGUCCACACGGUAAACGAUGAAUACUCGCUGUUUGCGAUAUACUGCAAGCGGCCAAG
rnacentral:rRNA from 1 species